CAGUCGCCGCGGUAAUACGAAGGGGGCUAGCGUUGUUCGGAUUAACUGGGCGUAAAGGGUGCGUAGGCGGGUUUUUAAGUCAGAGGUGAAAUCCCAAGGCUCAACCUUGGAACUGCCUUUGAUACUGGAAAUCUUGAGUCCGGGAGAGGUGAGUGGAACUGCGAGUGUAGAGGUGAAAUUCGUAGAUAUUCGCAAGAACACCAGUGGCGAAGGCGGCUCACUGGCCCGGAACUGACGCUGAGGCACGAAAGCGUGGGGAGCAAACAGGAUUAGAUACCCCUGUAGUCCCUGUCUCUUAUAC
rnacentral:rRNA from 1 species